rnacentral:rRNA from 1 species
UACGAAGGGGGGCUAGCGUUGUUCGGAAUUACUGGGCGUAAAGCGCGCGCAGGCGGCUAUCCAAGUCAGUGGUGAAAGCCCGGAGCUCAACUCCGGAACUGCCAUUGAAACUGUUUAGCUUGAGGACGAGAGAGGUGAGUGGAAUUCCCAGUGUAGAGGUGAAAUUCGUAGAUAUUGGGGAAGAACACCGGUGGCGAAGGCGGCUCACUGGCUCGUAUCUGACGCUCAGGCGCGACAGCGUGGGGGAUCAAACAGG